GCGGAAGUGGCGGAACUGGCAGACGCGCAGGAUUCAGGUUCCUGUGCCCGCAAGGGUGUGGAGGUUCGAGUCCUCUCUUCCGCA
rnacentral:tRNA from 1 species